rnacentral:rRNA from 1 species
UACGGAGGGUGCAAGCGUUAAUCGGAAUUACUGGGCGUAAAGCGCACGCAGGUGGCUGAGUCAGUCGAUUGUGAAAGCCCUGGGCUUAACCUGGGAAUUGCAGUCGAUACUACUCAGCUAGAGUAUGGGAGAGGGUAGUGGAAUUCCCGGUGUAGCGGUGAAAUGCGUAGAUAUCGGGAGGAACAUCAGUGGCGAAGGCAGCUACCUGGCCGAAUACGGACACUCAGGUGCGACAGCGUGGGAGCAAACAGG